ensembl:lncRNA
CCUCUCUUCUUCUUGUCACUACUCUUCACUCCUCCUCCUGUUCUCCUCUCUUCUUCCUGUCCUUUCUUCCCUCCUCCUGUCCUGUUCUCCUCUCUUCUUCCUGUCCUCACUCUUCUUUCCUCUUCCUGUUCUCCUCUCUUCUUCCUGUCCCUACUCUUCACUCCUCCUCCUGUUCUCCUCUCUUCUUCCUGUCCCUACUCUUCACUCCUCCUCCUGUUCUCCUCUCUUCUUCCUGUCCUUACUCUUCCCUCCUCCUCCUGUUCUCCUCUCUUCUUCCUGUCCUUACUCUUCCCUCCUCCUCCUGUUCUCCUCUCUUCUUCCUGUCCCUACUCUUCACUCCUCCUCCUGUUCCACUCUCUUCUUCCUGUCCCUACUCUUCACUCCUCCUCCUAUUCUCCUCUCCUCUUCCUGUCCUUACUCUUCCCUCCUCCUCUUCCUGUUCUCCUCUUCUUCCUGUCCUCACCCUUCUUUCCUCUUCCUGUUCUCCUCUCUUCUUCCUGUCCUCACCCUUCUUUCCUCUUGCUGUUCUCCUCUUCUUCCUGUCCUCACCCUUCUUUCCUCUUCCCAUCUUUUCUUUCUAAAGUCCAGAAACCGUCUCUAAAAUGUAGAAAUGAGGAGUAGAAAAUAUACAAAGGCUUGAUGAAAAGAAGAAGCAGGAGUGCUUAAGGUAUUCCCAAACAACCACAAGUGGAGGGGUUUGAACAGCAAACAAAAUGUAUAUGAUAACCACAAAUAGGUGCUGCUAAGUGGCACAAAAAGUCCAGCCACUCAUGUGGGUUUGAAAGUUAAAAUACAUACAGAUUUAUUCAAGGCUUAUUGAAGGAACCUGACCACAGGAGUAACUGUUUUCAUUUCAACUGGAAGACAACACAGCACAGAAACCUUAUGGUACGUUUUUUUUUUUUUUUUUAAACAUACGUUCGUCAUAGUAACGGACACGGUGAUAUUUACAUGAAUUGAUGAAGUAGUUUGUCUUUGGCAAUAUGAAUACACAUCAAUGAAAUACAGAACGCACCUACGGAGGACUCCAUAUUACCAGAUCAGCUGGAAGGUCAUGCCAUCAAGACUACGGGGUUCAGGAACAGGACACAGAAAUGAUCAGUAGCAUGUUUUUACAGAACACUACCUGCCUCUUAUUUACAUAGAAACUACAUGGGGACUUUUUGGUGUUUCUUUGUUAAACAACAACAGUGGUAAUAAAGUCACUCAAUAUUUGUCACCACAAAUUGCUCUGUGUUGUUUGAGUUAUUAGUUGAAAACUAAGCACCAAUAAGGAUCUCUUAAAACCCAGCAGUUGCUGAUUCUUUCGGAAUUUAUUGACGUAAGUGAGAUAAAGUACCAUGCAGUUUCCAUGACGACCAGGUGAAAAAUGUACCGCAAAUAAGUACCUGGCAAUCCAUUGAGCCUUCUUCUCCUCAUAAAACCCCUCCAAACAAUAAACAUGGAAGAAAAAUAGAUAUAAAACAAUCAAAAAACACGAUAAAACAAAGAAACAUUUUUUUUUUUUUAACUCAUCAAUAGAUACAUCACUAUUUGCCUGGCUAGUAUUGACAGUUCAUUGAUAAUAAUUCAUAUGAAAUGCUUUUUUUCCCAGAACACUUCAUACGUUGUGGCACCUGAAGGAUUGUGAUUGGAGGAAGAGUUAUCUAGUGAGUGUUAGACUUUAGACAGGCUAUACCCCACAAAGGAUAACGUAUCUUUAGUAAUAUAUUAUCAGUGGAAGACACAUUUACACAUCACCUCAACUUAAUGAAGGGAAAAUAAGGGAUGUCUCAACUGAUACCCUAUUGUCCAUAUAGUGCACUAAUUCGACCAGAGCCUCAUUGGGUUAGUUAGUUCUGGUCAAAUGGAGUGUAUUAUGGGAUAAUGGGUGUUAUAUUCAACUAAAAAGGCCACACAAAAAAAAUUAGCAUGUUCUGGAAAUGGAAUCCAUUCCAAGGAGCCAAUGCACAGCGAGUAGUGUGGUUGGUUCCAAGAACAAGGACUGGGACUGUACGACGACCCAUCUGACAGAAAUGCAACAGCACACUGGCAGCGUUUGACGUGUUCACAUAUGUUUGUAAUCUAUUUCAGGUAGAGAAGGAAUUAUUAAAGCCUUUGGCACUGAAAUGAAUCUUUCAUUUAAUAUCUUAGUGCAAUCUGGUGAGAUAAUGUAAAAAUACGCACUAUGUAGUUUGUAAUUAUCUGGCCGUCUUAUUUUGUGAGUUUCCUUUGAGUUAUUACCUGUCCAACGAGUCUAUAGGAGCCUGCUUUAUACUGACAACAAAGACCUGAAGAGCUACAAGAGUAGAAAGGACAACAACACAGCCGGAUACAUAAAAUAACAACCCAAAAACACUUUGGUAAACUCCUGUUUCAUAAACAAAAAAAUAAAAAAUAAAAGGAAGACAUUGAAAUAUCAACGACGUCUAAAACCUUAGAAAAUAAAGAAGGCGAUGGAAGAACAGACACAGAGAAGGAAGGGUGAGAGAACAGACGGCCGACACUCACUACCACCCAACCUCACCUUUAAUCACACGGGCUUCAACAUUCACCUGUCAGGGAGAACCCAUCAGACACAGAGAAGGAAGGGUGAGAGAACAGACGGCCGACACUCACUACCACCCAACCUCACCUUUAAUCACACGGGCUUCAACAUUCACCUGUCAGGGAGAACCCAUCAGACACAGAGAAGGAAGGGUGAGAGAACAGACGGCCGACACUCACUACCACCCAACCUCACCUUUAAUCACACGGGCUUCAACAUUCACCUGUCAGGGAGAACCCAUCAGACACAGAGAAGGAAGGGUGAGAGAACAGACGGCCGACACUCACUACCACCCAACCUCACCUUUAAUCACACGGGCUUCAACAUUCACCUGUCAGGGAGAACCCAUCAGACACAGAGAAGGAAGGGUGAGAGAACAGAUGGCCGACACUCACUACCACCCAACCUCACCUUUAGUCACACGGGCUUCAACAUUCACCUGUCAGGGAGAACCCAUC